CUGACCAGAAUUUCACCAGGGUGACAUGACAGUUUGUUGCUAAGGAACUGAAGACUAUGUCAUAAGUGAGCAUUCUGAUGAAGAGGAGUGAACAGUUUGCAGCAGAUUGGAUAUUAAGUAUAAAUCAGCUCUCUGUGUAUGUCCUUGUGUGGUGGUAUAACUGACAACAGGUAGGGUUCCUGAUGGGAUUGGGUUCCACCAAUCAGAGCCACUUGCAUGAGACCUCAACUGAGAGCCAGGAUGUCAUCUCCACCAGAACAAGGACUACGUUUUGUAUGUUGCUGUUCCGUUAGUGCCAGAACAUGCCCACCCCUGCUCAGUAAAUAAGCGUUAAGUGAAUGAAUUAAUAAGUGAAAGGCUGUGUUUGAAGAGGAGGGGCUCACUCUAAAUCUUGAAGAUGUUCAGCCUCGAAAAAGUAGAAGUCAUUGUGACCAAAGAUGAUGCCACCAUGCCUUUGAAAAAGAAAGGUGAUGAGCCUCAAAUGGAAAAAUACAUUCAAGAAAGGUCAAUGCUACCACCAUUCCCCUCUGCCCCUCCACUCCUGAGGCCAUCAUGAUGAAGCCAGUGGGAACUCCAGUGGAAGGACCCAGACAGGAAUAAGAUCACCUGGGCCUUCACCUUCCUUCACCGACCGAGAGCUCUUCUCUUCCUGCGCUUUUAUUUUAAUCUAGGACAUCCCCUCACUUGGCUCCUAGAGGCCCUGUUUCAUUUAAUUUGGCCUCCUUGCCCAAGCAGAAUCCUGGGCAAGCCUGGGAACCUAAUACCCUGAAUUCAAAUGAAGUUGCCUGGAGGAAACUGAAUGAAUCAGGUAGCUAAGAUUUGGCCUAACGUUGAUCUAUUUUUGGCCAAAGCCAACCUCCACUAAUAGGUCUCUACUAAUAGACUUGCAAAGAUGGAGCUCUGAAUCAAUGCUAAACAAGAGUUAUAAAUCAUGAAGACGUUUGCUGUCUUUUUACCUCCCAGGGAUGGGAGUGAAUGGGAGAGGACUCUGACCAUGAAGCGCUCUAAUCUAAACUCGGAGAAAAUUCUCCCAGCCAUUCUUCUGCUCACAGAAUUUCCGCGGCACCAGUCUCCCUGCAGCUUUGACAAGUGAGCUAUUUUAGUAUGAGAACAAGUAGAGUUAUUGUUAUCUCUGCUCUGAAUCAAGGAUAAAAAGAAAAGGUGAGCGGGAGAAGGAGGGUGUGAGAGAGAAGAACUGGGGGUGAGGUGCGGAAAAGCAGAAAGGACUUCAGAUACCGAAAGAAAAGGAGCCAGGUGCUCUUCCCGGCAAGGAAGUCACCAGCCGGCCGGUUUGUGGAUUGAAAUCAGCACGUGACCCCUCAGCAACCAUAGUAACAGUCCCUCCCUCUGGUCUCACAGGGCUCUGGAGGGGUGAAGACAGCACGAUACAUGCCAAGGUGCCUUGUCAGUGGUGAAGUGUUGUCUACACAGGGUGGCAGCUCCCUGUUUGACCAGGGAGCUACUGCGCCUUUCCCACAACCCCACCCAAAGACUCAGGACGGCCCAGGCCAGAAGGAAAUUUAGACAGUAGACCCUCCGUCAGCAGAUACCUUUCCCUGCUCUUCCUACCGGGUCACCUAGACCCUUAACAAGGGUGCUAUUUUAGCAAGAAACUGAAAAUAAAAAGAGAAUCUGCCCUCCGAACAUGCUGAACACUUAUUUUAGCACACAGCCCCAUGGAGGGUCAGCGCUCCACGCAUGUUUUAAAGCGUUUGUGCCUAUUUAUUUUGAGACCGGCAGGGCCUGAGUGAGCCACAGCUUCCUGGAUUCUGCUUUGUCAGCAAGGAAGAUUUGCUGCCAUAGAUAUGCUGAGCUCCCUCUGGGGCCCCCCUUCUCCUGGAAUCUGACUGAGAUGAGAAGUUUAUCCCAGCACUUAAAUGAAGAGACUUCCUCCAGCUCCCACUUCUGCCUCACCCCUCCGCCUACCACUGACAAACAGGCCUGGCUGCAAGGUGUGCGUGUCACCAGGACCUGGCCACCAGAGGGCGACAGAGAGCAAUGAGGGUCGAACAGUUUCCCAGAAGGAGCCAAAUCCCCUGACACAUCUGCUCCCUCCUCCAGCCCAAAAACUGCCAGACUUGCUAGCAUUUGCCAGUCCACCGAAACAAACAUCUCACCUUCAUCGUACAGUUCCUUGGUAAACUCUUAUUUUCUUCUUUAUCAAGUUUGGAUGGAAAACAAAACAAUUAAUUUUAAGAGCAGC
rnacentral:lncRNA from 10 species